UACGUAGGGUGCGAGCGUUGUCCGGAAUUAUUGGGCGUAAAGAGCUUGUAGGCGGUUUGUCGCGUCUGCUGUGAAAAUCCGGGGCUCAACCCCGAGUCGGCCGUGCGAACUGGGCUCACUGGAGCAUAGUAGAGGCAGGUGGAAUUCCGGGUGUAGCGGUGGAAUGCGUAGAGAUCCGGAAGAACACCGGUGGCGAAGGCGGCCUGCUGGGCUAUGGCUGACACUGAGGCGCGACAGCGUGGGGAGCAAACAGG
rnacentral:rRNA from 1 species